rnacentral:rRNA from 1 species
GAUGAACGCUGGCGGCGUGCCUAAUACAUGCAAGUCGAACGAGGUGCUUGAGUAGCAAUACGAGAGUAUCCUAGUGGCGAACGGGUGAGUAACGCGUUGGUGACCUACCCCAAAGUGUGGGAUAACAGUUCGAAAGGAUUGCUAAUACCGCAUGUGGUCUUCGGAUUUAGAAACUGAUGACUAAAGGAGCAAUUCGCUUUGGGAGGGACCUGCGUCCCAUCAGCUAGUUGGUGAGGUAAUGGCUCACCAAGGCUACGACGGGUAGGGGACCUGAGAGGGUGACCCCCCCACAAUGGAACUGAAACACGGUCCAUACACCUACGGGUGGCAGCAGUAGGGAAUAUUGCACAAUGGGCGAAAGCCUGAUGCAGCAACGCCGCGUGUGCGAUGAAGGCCUUCGGGUCGUAAAGGCACUUUUCUUGAGGGGAUGAGCAAGGACAGUACCUCAGGAAUAAGUCUCGGCUAACUACGUGCCAGCAGCCCGCGGUAAUCUG